GCCUUCCUGGUGUAGUGGUCAGCACUCUCGACGCGUAACCGAGAGGUCCGUGGUUCAAUUCCCUGCGAAAGGCG
rfam:Stegodyphus mimosarum contig89676, whole genome shotgun sequence.